GUUGGUUCAAAAGUAAUUGUGGUUUUUGCCAUUGAAAGUAAUAACAAAGAAACCACAGUUACUUUUUCACCAACCUAAUA
rnacentral:miRNA from 1 species